rnacentral:rRNA from 1 species
UACAGAGGUGGCAAGCGUUGUUCGGAAUUACUGGGCGUAAAGGGCGCGUAGGCGGCCAUUCAAGUCGGGGGUGAAAGCCUGUGGCUCAACCACAGAAUUGCCUUCGAUACUGUUUGGCUUGAGACCGGAAGAGGUCAGUGGAACUGCGAGUGUAGAGGUGAAAUUCGUAGAUAUUCGCAAGAACACCAGUGGCGAAGGCGGCUGACUGGACCGGAACUGACGCUGAGGCGCGAAAGCGUGGGGAGCAAACAGG